ensembl:lncRNA
GUUUCUUCUCUGGAGAUGCACAAUGAGGGACGUCUGCAGAGACUGAGAAAGAGUCUCACCACAUCCUGACAUGAGGAAAAAGACUUUAUUGAAGACUACAAUGAGAAAAACUAUCAGACAGCAGACAGCAUGCAUUCAAGUUUAGGCUGUUAAAUUGUUCCAGAUAAGACAAGUACAAGAUUCUUCAGAGCCGUUCUACCACGAGCCUGACAGGAAGAACUCCAACAGCUACUGAAUGUUCCUGUGGUUCCCUCAAGGCUACAGGAGGAGCCCUACGAGGACGAGCCGGUCCACCCGAUGGUGGCCAGUCGCUGCGGUUCAAAAGCCAACACCGACUACGUGGACUUCUACUGGACCACACGGAGGCCUUCAAACUGGACCAACAAGUUCACCGACUCCCCGACUCGUGGGUCUGAGGACGCCGCCGAGCCUCGGUCCAGCCGGCUGCCUGUCUGUGGGUGUUUGAGUGCUGAGAGGUUUCCCAGAGACUAUGGGUUGAGGAGGAAUUGGAAGUUUGUCGGCUUAGACCUGGUGUCAUUCCAUCAGUAUUAAACUUCCAGGCUCAUCUUGGAAGAGUACGUGCCAGAAAGAAAAUGACCAAGCAGCCUUGAGAUCUUAGGCAGCGUCUCCCUGAGUUCAAAGGUCCCUCUCUAUCUCCCCACACAUCCACCAACCACUGGAACACAUCUCCAAAGUUCUGCCGGGCCAGCUCAGCUUCCCCUCAGAAGAAGUUCCUCCACCUGCCAGAUGAAGGAGCCUUUUGAGAGGCAGCUGGCAUCGUGAUUGGACUGUACUUUGGUCUGUUCCAAUCCAGCUUCAGCUCCAGAGACGGCAGGCGGGACGAGUCAACGGAGGCCGGGUGGACGAAGGCAUGCAGCUGAGUACAAUCCAGAAAACAACAGAGGAGGAGUGCAGCGGCCCAGGGCCAGAACAAGCAGAGUAGCAUCGUAUGUCUCUUAGAAAACAUCAUAGUAUAGCCUUUGGUAUGAAAAAACGCCAUCAUAUACAUCGUAGAUUUUACAAAUAACAAGUCAAAGGAAAGAGACAUACAUUGUCGAAUUGUAGUAAUUGUGGGCUGACUGAUUUACUGAUUAUCAGUAUUUUAUUUUUUUACUGAUUUACGGUAAUAAAUACAUUUAAAAAUGGUGCUACUUUGGCUCUGAACCUUAAUCUACCUGUGGUCGCUCUGUCUUCUGGAGUGAUUUGAUUGGUUAUCCGUCACGAAUAAAACUCCU